CUUUAGUGCAGGUACUUACCAGUAAGGCUCUGGCUAUAUUCCAGGACUCAGUAGUUCCUGGGUUUAGCCAGAGGCUGACUGCACACUGACACAG
rnacentral:pre_miRNA from 1 species